AAGGAAGGAAGGAAGGAAGGAAGGAAGGAAGAAAGGAAGGAAGGAAGGAAGGAAUUGUAUCCUGAACCCACCCACAGAAACUCUGGAAUAAUAUGUUGUUUUAGUCAGGAGAUUCUCUCUGGAGUCUCCAUCUUGUUAUUUGAAGAAAGCCAACCUGAGUCCUGCAGCUACAAGAUGAAUUCUACCAACAACCUGAGGAAGGCUGAAUACAGAUCCUUGCUCUGCAGGAAGAUACCUCUGCUCAAAGCUGGGUUAUUCUUGAGUGAUGUCUUUGGUCAAGAUCACCCCAGGCCAGAACACACAGCAAGGUGACAGAAGUCAAUCCAGGCUGCCCCACUGGGGAAUGAGGUCAGUACCCACAUCUGGCUGUACAUCUUCGUCUCAGUACACCUGCUCUCUCCUCACACUGCUGUCCAGAUGUGCUCACAUGAAUUAUCUCAGUGCUAUCUUUUUUCUUUUUCUGUUUUUUU